rfam:Thermoanaerobacter pseudethanolicus ATCC 33223, complete genome.
UCCGGUGGCGAUAGCGGAGGGGAAACACCCGUUCCCAUUCCGAACACGGAAGUUAAGCCCUCCAGCGCCGAUGGUACUGCUUUCGCGGGAGAGUAGGUCGCUGCCGGAA